rnacentral:rRNA from 1 species
AUGAAUGUCAACCCAGUGGUGACUUGUUGGAACGUUCGUGGUUUGAACAGUCCGGCAAAGAGGAAAGCGGUGAAAGAGUUUCUGGCUUCGGUGAAGCCUAAUCUUGUGUGUUUGCAGGAGACAAAACUGGAUGUUGUAGGCAAUUUUCUCUUAAUGCAAUGUUGUGGUCCGUCUUUGGACGGCUUUGCUUACUUUCCAGCGGAUGAUACGAGAGGAGGGAUCAUACUUGCUUGGGAUACAACGGUUCUGCAGGUA